rnacentral:rRNA from 1 species
ACCUGUUGAUCCUGCAGGAGGUUGCUGCUAUCGGGAUUUCGUUAAGGCAUGCAAGUUUGCGGACUUCUUCGGAAGUCAGCGGCGAAAUGCUCAGUAACACGUCGAUAAUCUGCCUUUAGGUCUAGAAUAACCUUGGAAAACUGAGGCUAAUACUGGAUAUGGGAUUGGUUCUGGAAUGAUCUUUCCUUUAAAGUUUCGAUGCCUAAAGAUGAGUCGGCGGCGGAUUAGAUUGUUGGUGGUGUAAAGGACCACCAAGUCCAAGAUCCGUACGGGCCUUGAGAGAGGUUGCCCGGAGAGGGACACUGAGAUACUGGUCCCAGCCCUACGGGGUGCAGCAGCUAGGAGUUCUUUACAAUGCACGCAAGUGUGAUAAGGGAAUCCCGAGUGCUCAUGCAAAGCAUGGGCUUUUGUUAAGAGUAAAAAUCUUUGCGAAUAAGUGGUGGGCAAGACUGGUGCCAGCCGCCGCGGUAACCCCAGCGCCACAAGUGGCAACCGAUUUUAUUGGGUCUAAAGCAUCCGUAGCCGGUCUGCUGGAUUCUCUGUGAAAUCGUCGAGCUCAACUCGACGGCGUGCAGGGAACACUCACAGACUUGAGACCGGGAGAGGUCAAGAGUAUUCCAUGGGGAGCGGUAAAAUGCUAUAAUCCAUGGAGGACUACCUAUGGCGAAGGCACUUGACCAGCACGGCUCUGACGGUGAGGGAUGAAAGCUAGGGGAGCGAUCCGGAUUAGAUACCCGAGUAGUCCUAGCUGUAAACGCUGCGAACCAGAUGUUGCACAUUCCUCGAGGAUGUGCAGUGUCGAAAUGAAGAUGUUAAGUUCGCCACCUGGGGAGUACGGUCGCAAGACUGAAACUUAAAGGAAUUGGCGGGGGAGCGCUACAACGGGUGCGGCGUGCGGUUUAAUCGAAGUCGACGCCGAGAAUCUCACCAGCGGCGACAGCAGGAUGAUGGUCAGUCUGAAGGGCUUACCAGACGCGCUGAGAGGUGGUGCAUGGCCGCCGUCAGCUCGUGCCGUGAGGUGUCCUCUUAAGUGAGGCAACGAGCGAGACCUGUGUUUUUACUUGCUAACGGGUUAGUAAUAAUGACCGAGCACAGUAGGAAGACUGCCUUGGAAACGAGGAGGAAGGUGCAGGCAACGGUAGGUCUGUAUGCCCCGAAUCUGCUGGGCUACACGCGCGCAACAAUGAUAAGGACAAUGGGAUGCGACUCCGAAAGGAGGAGCUAAACCUCUAAACCUUACCCAAGUUCAGAUCGAGGAUUGCAACCCAUCCUCGUGACGUUGGAAUCCGUAGUAAUCGGGAUUUAUCAUAUCCCGGUGAAUAUGUCCCCGCUCCUUGCACACACCGCCCGUCAAUCCAACCGAGCAGGGUUUAGGUGAGCCCUAACUUUUUUGGUUAGGCCGAAUCUGAGCUCAGUGAGGUGGGAUAAGUCGUCACAAGGUA